AGUGGAAUUGCUGGGUCAAAUGGUGACUCUACACUUAACUUUUUAAGAAGCUGCCAAACUGUUUUCCAGAGCAGCUGCACCAUUUACAUUCCUAUCAGCAAU
rnacentral:pre_miRNA from 1 species